GAUGAACGCUGGCGGCGUGCCUAAUACAUGCAAGUCGAGCGAACAGAUGAGGAGCUUGCUCCUCUGACGUUAGCGGCGGACGGGUGAGUAACACGUGGAUAACCUACCUAUAAGACUGGGAUAACUUCGGGAAACCGGAGCUAAUACCGGAUAAUAUAUUGAACCGCAUGGUUCAAUAGUGAAAGACGGUCUUGCUGUCACUUAUAGAUGGAUCCGCGCCGCAUUAGCUAGUUGGUAAGGUAACGGCUUACCAAGGCGACGAUGCGUAGCCGACCUGAGAGGGUGAUCGGCCACACUGGAACUGAGACACGGUCCAGACUCCUACGGGAGGCAGCAGUAGGGAAUCUUCCGCAAUGGGCGAAAGCCUGACGGAGCAACGCCGCGUGAGUGAUGAAGGUCUUCGGAUCGUAAAACUCUGUUAUUAGGGAAGAACAAAUGUGUAAGUAACUAUGCACGUCUUGACGGUACCUAAUCAGAAAGCCACGGCUAACUACGUG
rnacentral:rRNA from 1 species